CCGGGGCCCUACACGCCAGACCUGGCUCGGGGUGGGAGUGCAGAGGCAACCAAAAAGGAACCCACACCUCCCUCCAGGGCCCGGGGCGCUGUCAGACGGGGCAGCAACCAGGAGAUUCCCUGGGCCUGCAGGAAGCCCUUCCGCGGACCGAAAGAUUGUUCCCCAUUUUGGAGAUGAAGAAACUGAGACUCAAAGCAGCUGAGUGACCUUCCCAAGGACACACACUGAACUGGGCGGUGAUCAGGAUCUGAAUGCACAGGGCGGGUGUUCAGCGAUUGUUUACUACGUUGAACGUGACCUCCAGGAAAGCAGUUCUGGCCGAGAUCCCCUGACAACGCAAAGCAAGAAGUAACGUGGAAGGAGGCUCCCCAAGCUGGCUGGCCAUUUUGCUGCUGUGUGUGGAGGUGCUGCCAGUGGCAUGCCCAAACCCAAAGCUGGAAGAGGAAUAAAUUACAAGUGGUCAAGGUUGCAUCCUUUUGAGCCCAGGACCUGCUUGUAAGCCGAGAGGGUUCUCUGGCCCUAAUCUAGCCAAGCACCAUGGAGAGAAUCAGUGCCUUCUUCAGCUCUAUCUGGGACACCAUCUUGACCAAACACCAAGAAGGCAUCUACAACACCAUCUGCCUGGGAGUCCUCCUGGGCCUGCCACUCUUGGUGAUCAUCACACUCCUCUUCAUCUGUUGCCAUUGCUGCUGGAGCCCACCAGGCAAGAGGGGCCAGCAGCCAGAGAAGAACAAGAAGAAGAAGAAGAAGAAGAAGAAGAAGGAUGAAGAAGACCUCUGGAUCUCUGCUCAACCCAAGCUUCUCCAGAUGGAGAAGAGACCAUCACUGCCUGUUUAGUUAGGCAGGAAGCAGAGGUGUUUCCUUUCUGGGGCUAAGCCUCCUUCUGACCACACACAGACAUUUCAGGAACCCCUGAAAUAAUGCACUAUGUCCAUGUCCACAGAGUAACUACUCAACCAAGGAACAAACCUCAGACUAAGUGUCCCAGUGGAGGGCAGUCCCAGGGACCACGUGGACAAUUCUUGGAUACUGUCUUGGCAGCUAUGUGUCCAAUAGCAAUGCUCCUUACUGCAGACCCAGGCAUGCCUCCCACCUGUCUCUGGCAUACCCCACAUGCAAAGCACAAAGAACAUUUAUCCAUACAUCUCAAUAUGGUUCCCAAGUGUGUGCACAUGCACGUAACACACACACACACAAAUUCAGGUAGCAGGUACGUGGGCAAGUAUAUUCUGCUCAUCAAAUGGUCAUUGGCUAUGUACUUUGUGCAGGGAAGUACAUUAUCUACAGUCACAAAAAUGUCUCAUGGGAAAGCCUUGCCAGAUUCAGACACAUAUAUACAAUUUCCUAACCAGCAAGGCCCCCAUACACCAUCUAUUCCAUAAACCACUCAGGUUACAGAUGCAUGCUUUCCUAUUUCUAACUCUACACAUAAACUUUUACUGGAAGUACUCAUAAUUGGACAUUCCAGCAACCUGCUACAGUCCCCACCCUUGUGUGUCUUGAUACAGACACACCAAGUUUCUGUGCCUCUGACCCCUCACCUGUGCCAAGAUGUUUAAAGUGUGAUGGUUCAAAAUUCAUUGAAAGCUCUUUUCUUGUAACUCAUGACAAAGUCCGUCCUCAUUGCCACUGAGAGGUGUUUAAUGUGAUCCAAGACCUCUCUGUGAAACAUUACCCCCGCAAACCACUCAGCAAAGUGCCUUUCUCCAAGCAAGAACAAAGAGCUCUUGGUGGUGACUGCUAGAAAAUUAUGGAAGCCCACUCAUUUAUGUCAGUGGACUGCAACUGUGUACCUGUGCAAUGUUUACAGAUGGAAAGGGUGAGGAGAUGCUACACCUGAGCUAGGUAUCUCCUAUAUAACCAAAGUUUCCAGCAGGGAAGGAACUAGACAAUCAUCAGUGCAGUCUCACAGAAGGCAACACUGGAAGUGAUGUCAUAAGGUUGUGAUGUGUGCACGGUAUGGCACAGGUGGGAUGCAGAGGUAACAGAGUUUAAAUGAAAGUAGGAUGAAGCUAUAAAGAGGUUUAUUUAUAUUUAUAUUGAAGCUCAGGCAAGUGCCUUGCACACAGUAGGUACUUAUAACUAACUGUGGUUACUGUUGGAUAUGUGAUGUUGUUAAGGGUAAGCUUGUAAUACCUCACCAGUUCUCCCCGAGUGAUCUUCUCUUCUAAGUGAGCCCACUAAUUGCUGCAAUGGAUGAAAUUGGGUGUUUAAUGCUGGAGAGCACAUGUAGGUGACACAUGUGCCUUGAGGUAUGUGAGGACAUGUAAAUUAGAUCCACAGUGAGCUGAGGAGGGCUUUCCCCGCCAGAGUGAGGUUGGGAAGCAGAGUUAAUCCACUUAUAGGAUGAACUGCUUGGUAUUUUUAUUGUAUUGUGACUGUAUUACAAAGAUGGACAAUUCACUCCUUGGGAGCAAGUUAUGCUCUAGAAGUUUAUUUACAAAUAUGCUGGGCAGCUCUCUUGAAAUAUUUUCCCAAGGAAGCUAUUCUACACAGUGGCAAAAUUGCUAUCUAAUUAAUAAUGUAGCUAAACUAUGAUAUUUAUAGUAGCAAAAAACUAAAUUCUAUAAGAUUGCAUUAAAGGAAAGAUAUAUUCUAUUUGCUCACUUGGGCUGCUUGGUACUCACCUGCCCUCCAGGUGUACUUUAGGCCUGUGGAGGGUGGGCAUUUAGUGGUGACCCUUGCACCAGGGUUUUCUAACAGAUGACCCUGUGAAUCAUAAUUUAAACCUGCAUAUAUUUUAUAGCCAGUCACAUUUGCCCUCUCACCCUAUAUGGCCAUAAACUGCCUAAGCACUCAGGCCUCCCACUCAUCAACCCCUUUGACCAGAGAAAGAAGCACUCUGGUUCUCUAUCCCCUUGUCACAUAGAGAGUUUGUCAUGGGGCCUCUGGCUGUGCCCUUCACAUAACAGAAUGACUUGCCAUCUGCCUGCACCAAACCCAGGGAUGUGGAAGACAUCUCCCCACAACUGCCACUGCUCACCAGGACAAGCUGCCCUUCCUGUCUCCACCUCUCAGUCCCCCUAGAAUGGAUGGCUGGGGAGAGGUGGAGGCUGACAGCUGAGACGUAGUGUCAGAUAUGAUCUAGGAGGGCGGAUCACCGGGAUCCGGGACCAUACAAGUAACAUGGUUUCCAUGGCAACUGCUUGCUCCUUUGAAUUAAGACAGCAGUCAGUUGUCAUUGCCAUGACAAGGCCUCUAUCUCCAGGCACAAUGUCCCUGCUGUCUCCUAAUCCAAUGGACUUGCUCUCACCCCAGGGAUGAAACACCCAGAAACUCACUUCUCAGUCACUUCCACAGCCGAUGACUCAGAAGAGCCAAACCCAGAAUGGGGCCUCUCUUUUCCCCAUCACAGACUCCCCUGACAACCUUUCCUGGCGUAACUAGAGGAGUCCCAGUGCAGGAUAGGCCCUAAACGUUUUGUUAAAUAAACAGGUGCAUGAAAGGAGCCUAAGGCCAUUGUUGAUAUCCACUCUCUUCUUUCCACUUCCUUCUCAUCUUUUUCUCCAUGUUUUAUGCUUCUCUGAUUCCCUCUUCUGCCUGCACCAGACCAGCCCCAGCCCUUUAUUCCUCUCCAUUUUCACUCCUUCCAGCCUCUGUCCCUGAACUGCCACUGGCAACCCAUGGGACCUCAGGACCAGAGACUGCUUGACUCAUCUGGGGAGGGUAAGUUCACGGGGGACAAAAAAAUGAUUCCUAAAGAAGAGGCUUCCUAGACCAGCACAGGCUCGAGAAAGACAUCCCCUAGGCCUGGACUUCUGAGCAGCUUUAGCCAGGCUCCGGACGGCAGCCAGAGGAGGCCUUUCCCCAUUGCUCCUUUCCCCAUUGCUCAAUGGAUUCCAUGUUUCUUUUUCUUGGGGGGAGCAGGGAGGGAGAAAGGUAGAAAAAUGGCAGCCACCUUUCCAAGAAAAAUAUAAAGGGUCCAAGCUGUAUAGUAUUUGUCAGUAUUUUUUUCUGUAAAAUUCAAACACACACAAAAGAAAAAUUUAUUUAAAUAAAAUACUUUGAAAAUGAAAAGUCUUGAUGUAGUCAGAUGGUUACUCUCUUAACAUUAGGUAUUACCCCCACUCAGACAUCACUCAGAAAUGAUCAAUGCAGGGACUCUUUCUGUGACACAAAUGUCCCAGCCCUCCCUGGUCACCGCCUUCGCCAUGGUAGAGUCAUAGGUCUGAGGAUGAGGAAUGUGGCUGUCUCACCCUUGCUUGCAAAACAGAUGGCCUUGGAGACCAGACUCCCUCAAAGGUGCCAGCUACAGGAAAAAUAUACUGAUGUUCCUUGGCAACACUUACAGAACUUUCCAUCAAUGAGGUCCAUCAAUGGCUUCUUAAAGGAAAAGGGGGGAAAUAGCAAAAACCUAAGGAAGAAUGGACCUUUGAGUUAAAUCCAGUGUUUGUUGGGAAAGGAGGGAUCAAAAACCUCUAUAGUAGCCACUAGGGCAAAAACUGUGUGUAUGUGUGUGUGUAAGUGUGUGUACACUGUUCAAUAUGGUUCAAUAUGGUACCAAUAGCCACAUGUGACUAUUUAAAUUCAUUGCAAUGAAAUAAAAUUAAAGGUAUACUAGCUC
rnacentral:lncRNA from 1 species